AACGAACGCUGGCGGCAUGCCUAACACAUGCAAGUCGAACGAGACCUUCGGGUCUAGUGGCGCACGGGUGCGUAACGCGUGGGAACCUGCCCUUAGGUUCGGAAUAACUCCCCGAAAGGGGUGCUAAUACCGGAUAAUGUCUACGGACCAAAGAUUUAUCGCCUUUGGAUGGGCCCGCGUUGGAUUAGCUAGUUGGUAGGGUAAAAGCCUACCAAGGCGACGAUCCAUAGCUGGUCUGAGAGGAUGAUCAGCCACACUGGGACUGAGACACGGCCCAGACUCCUACGGGAGGCAGCAGUGGGGAAUAUUGGACAAUGGGCGAAAGCCUGAUCCAGCAAUGCCGCGUGAGUGAUGAAGGCCUUAGGGUUGUAAAGCUCUUUUACCCGGGAUGAUAAUGACAGUACCGGGAGAAUAAGCUCCGGCUAACUCCGUG
rnacentral:rRNA from 1 species